rnacentral:ncRNA from 1 species
CGCCGUGAACUAAAGCAUUUCAGUAACGGCAGGAAAAGAAAAUAACCAUGAUUCCCACAGUAACGGCGAGUGAAGUGGGAAGAGUCCAACGUUGAAAGCGGCAUCUGUAACAAGGUGUGGCAUUGUAACGUAUAGACUUGUCAUCGAGGCGUCCGACCGGACUAAAGUCGUUAAGAAUGGCGCACCAUAGAGGGUUGUAGUCCCGUACAUGGUUCGGUAUCGGAUGUCGUGAAUGGCAAAGUCAAAGAGUCGGAUUGUUUGGGAAUGCAGUCCAAAGUGGGUGGUAAACUCCAUCUAAGGCUAAAUAUUACUCCGAGACCGAUAGCAAACAAGUACCGUGAGGGAAAGGUGAAAAGAAUUCUGAGAAGAGAGUGAGAAGAACGUGAAACCGUUAGUGGGGAAGCGGACAAUGUAAUCGUAGUUGUUUGGUGUUUGUGUUUUUCAACUUGUUGUUAAAUUCUUAACGCCGAAUAACGCGCCAGGCUCUAUGCUAAUGCAGCUGGCAGUGUAUUGGGUGGUUCGACAAAGAGUGUUUCUUGAGAAAUGCUCUGUCGGCUGACAGUACAAACUGUUGUAGAGUUGGCGCGGCAUGGAUGUGUGUGCUUGUGCGUUGAAGGUUCGUUGGCGUGUAGUCGGUGCGAUCCCACAAAGUGGGACACAUUGGUGUAGCGUUGGCGUAGUUUUGACGUCUCGACGAAUGUCGCACACAAACUCUUGGCGAGAUAUGACAUUGUCCGACCCGUCUUGAAACACGG